CACUGACCCCCCCCGGUCUCCCGCAGGGCGCCUGGAGCGGACCCUGGGUCUCCACGGAGGUGCUGGCUGCCGCCAUCGGGCUCCUCGUCUACUACUUGGCCCUGAGCGCCAAGGGGAGCAUCCAAGCCUGAGGGGGAACCGGGGCCCCCCCUCUGUGUGUCCCCCAAUAAACACUGUCCACACCCGCUCGGCUCGCUGUGCUUCUGGGGCGCGGGGCUCCACUGCCGGCCCCCAGCUCUGGGGAGGGGGAGGGGCUGGCUCUCAGCACCCCCACUAUCCGGCCCACGGGGGGACAAGGCAAGGGGGGGGCCGGUCUCCAGUUAGGCGCUGGCCCAAGGGGUGAAUGUUGCGUGGGGGGCCCCCAGCGGCCCGACACUGCCGCCCUGACUUUCACAAAGGGGGCGACACAGACACGAGGCCGGGAGUGAAACUGGAACGAAAAGGGAAAUCACAGCGCAGCUCCGGAGCAGGGAGAGGCGAAGGGCGGCCUUGGACCCGGGCCGGGAAGGCCUGGGGAGGAGCCGGACUCUGGCAAACGAGGGGCAAAUACAGAAUUGGGCCAAACCCGACCGUGAAGAGCAGCGAGCCGGAGCCUGGGGCCCGGAGCGGAAGCCGGAAGCUGCUCCGCGACCCGUGGGGCCCCUGGGCGAGCCAGCUGCGAAAGGGUCACUCAAGGACGACAAGGCCAUUGCGGAGAAAUGAAUCGAAUUCGGUCUUCACGGCCGAGGAUGGGAGGGAGAUUCCCAAACCGGAGCCCGUCUGUUUAGGUGACAGAUCUGAGGAAGUGUCCCGGAUUGAGGUGUCGCAGAGGAGGGUUUGGAACAAACGGAUAAACGAACCCACACUAAGUCCCCAGGCCCAGAUGGGCUCAGGCAGGAACUCAGACGUGCCGUUGUCGUCUGUCCCCGCUGACGAGGACGGCUCCUGUGCCGCCGAUCGUUACAAAGGGCUCCAGCGGUGCCCCCGGCAAUUACAGGCCGGUGAGUCUGACUUCAGUCCCGGGCAAAGGGCUCGAAAGUGUCGUAGAGAACAGAACGGCCAGACACGGAGCUCACCUCAACUUGUGGGGGAAGAGGCAACGUGGAUUUUGUAAAGGGAAAUCGUACCUCACCAAUCUACUAGACUUCUCUGAGGGGAUCCACCAGCCCGUGGCCAAGGGGAUCCCGUGGAGAUCGUGGACUUCGAUUGUCAGAAGGCCUUUGACACGGUCCCUCACGAAAGUCAGCUGCCAGGGGAUACGAGGGAAGAUCCCCUCGUGGAUCGGUAACUGGUUAAAAGACGGGACACAAAGGGGAGGAAUACCUGGUCCGUUUUCAGAGUGGAGAGAGGAAUGGCAGGAAGCCAGGGGCGCAGGGCCUGGUGCCCCCCCACGCUCGGUGACACCACCACCCGAGAGAGAGACCGCGGCGGCCAGUUCUCGGAAAUCCUCCGCUCGCUGGCAGGAAGGCGACCGAGGGCCGGGACUUGUUAGGAAAGGGAGAGACGAGACGUUGCCUUGAACGCUGCGGGCAGACGUGCUCGCCCCAUCUCCGAAAGGAUCCCGUGGAAUUGGGAACGGUUCAGACAAGGGCGACAAAACUGAUUCGGGGCGUGGAACAGCUUCCGCGGGAGGAGACGUUAAUGAGAGCGGGACUCUCCAGCUCGGAAGAGCCGGCUAAGGGGCUGUGACGGGGCUCGACAAUCCCGCCGAGAGAGUAGAGCGGGGAGUGUUAUUUACUCCUUCUCCUAACACAAGAACCAGGGUCACCCAAUGAAAUGAA